rnacentral:rRNA from 1 species
AACGAACGCUGGCGGCAGGCUUAACACAUGCAAGUCGAAGGUGAAGCGGGGCUUCGGCCCCGUGGAAACUGGCGCACGGGUGAGUAACGCGUGGGAAUCUGCCCUGGGGUGGGGAAUAACCGCUGGAAACGGCGGCUAAUACCGCAUACGCCUUCAGAGGGAAAGCUUUAGCGCCCUGGGAUGAUCCCGCGUCGGAUUAGCUUGUUGGUGAGGUAACGGCUCACCAAGGCGACGAUCCGUAGCUGGUCUGAGAGGAUGAUCAGCCACACUGGGACUGAGACACAGCCCAGACUCCUACGGGAGGCAGCAGUGGGGAAUAUUGGACAAUGGGGGAAACCCUGAUCCAGCCAUGCCGCGUGCGUGAAGAAGGCCCUAGGGUUGUAAAGCGCUUUCGGCGGGGAAGAUGAUGACGGUACCCGCAGAAGAAGCCCCGGCUAACUCCGUG